AGAACGAACGCUGGCGGCAGGCUUAACACAUGCAAGUCGAGCGCCCCGCAAGGGGAGCGGCAGACGGGUGAGUAACGCGUGGGAACAUACCCCUCGGUUCGGAAUAACUCAGGGAAACUUGAGCUAAUACCGGAUACGGUCGAGAGGCGAAAGAUUUAUCGCCGAGGGAUUGGCCCGCGUCCGAUUAGCUAGUUGGUGAGGUAAUGGCUCACCAAGGCGACGAUCGGUAGCUGGUCUGAGAGGAUGAUCAGCCACAUUGGGACUGAGACACGGCCCAAACUCCUACGGGAGGCAGCAGUGGGGAAUAUUGGACAAUGGGCGAAAGCCUGAUCCAGCCAUGCCGCGUGAGUGAUGACGGCCUUAGGGUUGUAAAGCUCUUUCGUCAGGGACGAUAAUGACGGUACCUGAAGAAGAAGCCCCGGCUAACUCGUGCCAGCAGCCGC
rnacentral:rRNA from 1 species